rnacentral:tRNA from 1 species
GUCUCUGUGGCGCAAUCGGUUAGCGCGUUCGGCUGUUGACUGAAAGGUUGGUGGUUCAAGCCCACCCAGGAACG